GCGCGGGUAGCUCAGUGGUAGAGCAGUUGGCUUUUAACCAAUUGGUCGUGGGUUCGAAUCCCACCCCGCGCACCA
rnacentral:tRNA from 1 species